rnacentral:rRNA from 1 species
UACGUAGGGUGCAAGCGUUGUCCGGAAUUAUUGGGCGUAAAGAGCGUGUAGGCGCCAGGUAGGUCUGCUGUGAAAACUCGAGGCUCAACCAUCGAGACGUCGGCGGAAACCAUCUGGCUAGAGUCCGGAAGAGGAGAGUGGAAUUCCUGGAUGUAGCGGUGAAAUGCGCAGAUAUCGGGAGGAACACCAGUGGCGAAGGGCGAACUACCCUGGCCGUGUUCUUGACGCUGAGGCGCGAAAGCUAGGGGAGCAAAGCGGGAUUAAGAAACCCCGGUGAG